UGUCUGAUGUUGAACAGAACUUACAACAUCAAUCAACAUGUCUCAAUGAAAAUUGUACAGAAAAAAAGUGGGAGUCUGUACCUGAACAAAUGUCAAAACUUAUUUUUUAACGAGAUGGCCAGGCAAUUUGAGUAACGUUAUUGCGUAGUCUACGGAAUGACAUCACAAGGUCAUUUAGCAACAAAUCAACCUAACUCUAGCAAUGUACCCUGAAAAUGAGUUGGCAACACUGAAACCGAGACGUACAAUAACAAAACCGGAAAUUGAGGUGCGAGAAGCGCUGAUAACGCUACGAUAUUUGAAUGAGAUGGAGUCAGAUGGAGGGGAGGAACUUGAUGCUGAGAUCGACUCGGAUAACGAAAGGGGGAAUACUUCAUUACAUUCUGAUUCUGAUUAGGAGCCUGAUCUGCCUCGGCGCAAGAGAGCCCGAACGAUGCCCACUGUGCAGGCGUCACUAACUGAGAUGGAGAGAGAGGAGACGGGGACGGACGGCACGGUUUGGAUAAAAAAGCCUGCUGACAAUGCUCCGAGUCGAUUAUCAGCACAUAAUGGAAUGCCAGUGGAGUCGGGCCCUACACCUUACGCAAAAGCCAGAAUUGACAGAGCAUUCGACAGCUUUCAUUGUUUAUGUGACAUGGAGAUGUUGCAGCAAAUCAGGGGCCAUACUGUAGCUGAGGCGCACAGAACAAAAGGAGACAAAACGUGGGACAUGCCUGUGGAUGAGCUGGAAGCGUUCAUUGCGCUCCUGUAUGUCCAGAACACGCCUCUGGUCAGACAGGUAUGGGAUCACUUUCUUCUGAGACACCAUGCCACGGAACCGCUUCAGAGAAAUCAUGUGAAUCCUGCGUUUUGAUGCAAGAGCGACCAGACGUAUGCGCCUGGAAACUGACAAAUUCCCCUUAGUAUCAGAAGAUUGGAAUGUUUUUUUUACAGUACUGUGCUACCUCUUUACAAGCCAGGAGUGAACAUCACCGUGGAGGAGCAAUGGUUCCCCACGAAAACGAAAUGUCGCUUUACGCAUGAAGUUUCGGUUGGCAGCUGACUUCACAGUAUGUGCUGAAUGUCUUUCCACAUCUGGGGAAAGAUGAAUCUUAGCGUCCUGAAAAUGUGGUGAUGAGGCUUGUAGAACCGUACCUUGGCGAGGGUAGGAAUGUAAACACAGACGAGAUCUUCACAUCACUGCCAUUGGCAAAUAUAAGUUGAUUGACAAGAACACAAGCCUGGGGGGGGCUGCCUCCAUCUGCAUGUAACCAGUCACAAGCAGAGCUGUUAUCCACAGCGGAGCUGAAGCACGACAAAGCAACACUUACGGUUUACAGAAAGAAGCCUAGAAAAAAUGUCUGUAUCCUGAGUACUAUGCAUCUGACCGUUGCCAUUGGCGGUGACACAAAGAGAGAACCUGAGACCCUGACGCACAGUAACAGCAGAAAUGUUGGUGUGGAUACGAUGGCCAGACAGUUCACGGUGAAAGGGGGUACUCGCCGCUGGCCUGUUGCCGUUGCCGUAUUCUACAACCUGCUCGACCCGGCUGCUAUCAACGCGCACGUUUUGUUCGCCCAGUGUACCGGCAAGACAAUGUGGUGAAAGAGGGUAUCCCACAUCCAUUUCAUCAUGGAUCUGGCAUGGGAGCUUCGUGAGAACCACAUGAGCCAAGACGAAGGCAGCUGCAGCCGCCAAGGAGGCAGCCGAGGCCGCACCGCCUCCUUCCAGGGCACCCAUCCAGCUGGGAAGAGAACACAGUGCCAGGUGAAGACGCAGUGUGCACGGAACCAGGCCCAUGAAAGCUGUGCACAGUGCCACCGAUUUGUUUGUGGGUCUUGCACCCACAAAGGUCCGAAGCGGUGCGCUGACUGUGGAUCAGAGCAAUAGAGGAGAGGAGGAAGAGACUGAUUAAUGCAUGAAAGGCGCAUAUCCCACUGAAGGCGAGGGCACAAUAUUGUGUUCAACUCCAAUCUAAUGACAAAUGUUUUAUGUCAUGGAUAUUGUCAACGAAUAUUAACAUAUGUAUAUAAUGGUUCUCAUGUGUUUUGCACUCUUUUUAUCAGUUGCCGCUUCUGUGAAUGCAUAAAUCCCGAGUGGCACAGCGGUCUAUGGCACUGUCCCAGCGUUGUCCGGAUUUGGCUGGGGUAGGCCGUCAUUGUAAGUAAGAAUUGUUCUUAGCUGACUUGCAUUCUUAUCAUUGAUGUGGUCCUCUAUGGUUAUUUUUUGUACUCAUGCUUUUCCAAUCCUAGAAAUGAUUUAUUAACCCCGCACAAUUGGAUACAUUUAAUCAAUUGUACUUGUGAAUGUAGCUAACAGUAUCCCACAGAAAGCAAGAGGCCAGGCCACUAACAGUUUAAAGAGCCAGUGCAGUCAAAAUGUAAUUCUCCAGUGUUUUAUAUAUAUUUACAACCUAUGAGGUUGGAAUAAUAUGAAUCAUAAGGGAAACAUCGCGCUGUCCCAGAAUCUUGGCUGGUGUGUAAAAGCAGUGAAUUUAGACAAACAAAAAGGUGUAGCAGGAAGCUUAGGCCUACUUCAUUAUUCUAAUUGAAAAAAUCCUUUUCACUGCAUUAGGAAUAGCGUACACAGACUUUUGGAUUUACGUCCUUCUUCAGUGUAUAGGUGCAAUUUUAUUUGAUUUCAAAACCGCUUUUUUUUUUUUUUUUUUUUAGGGAACAACUGAUGAUAAAUAACAUUUGAUUUGAUGAGUAGCGGGUGCUUUUAAUCAGGGUUGCCUCUCAUCUGCCAAUGAGGGAUGUGUCUUUUUCUGGUCUACCUGUAUACAAACAAGUUAGUCACAAAGGAAUACAGAAUUAUAAGGUAAGAGAGCGGGCACCAAGGACAAUUCAAUUGCCUUAGGUGUCUGCUCACUUGAAUACAUUGUGUCGAUUCACGAGAUACCUUACCACAAAGGAUAUCAGGCUCAGACGUCCAUAAAUAUGUGGGGCUAACUCAUAAACGAUAUGCAAAAUCUGUAAGGACAGUGUUCUUGUAACAGUCUAAAUUUGGCCUAUAGGAAGGAGGUGAAAUAUAAUGAUUUGUUUAAACCGUGUGGAGAUACAGAAUGUAAUGUAUAUAUCCACGUUGUAAUGGGUGCGUGCUGGCGACAGGGAAGUCAGGUUCAGGAGAAUGAACUUGGUAUAAACGGAGUCGUUUAAUAAGUGCUCACAAAACUCUGAAAAACCCGUCGCACACCAGAACUGCACAUAACAUACAAUCAAACGAUCACCGACAAGGACAUGAGGGGAAACAGGGUUAAAUACACAACAUGGAAUUGAUGGGAUUGGAAUCAGGUGUGAAGGAAGACAAGGCAAAACUAAUGGAAAAUUAAAAAUAGAUCAGCGAUGGCUAGAAGGUCGGUGACGUCGACCGCCGAACACCGCCCGAACAAGGAGAGGGACCGACUUCGAAGUCGUGGCAGUAUCCCCCCCCCCCCCCGACGCGUGGUUCCAGCAGCGCGUUGACACUGAACUCGGGGACGACCCGGAGGGCGAGGCGCAGGGCAGUCCGGAUGGAGACGGUUGAGCUCUCACAGCAUUGAAGGAUCCAACACGUCCUCCACCGGAACCCAGCACCUCUCCUCCGGACCAUACCCCUCCCAGUCCAUGAGGUACUGAAGGUGUCCUAUGGGCGGCGUCCUAUGUUUCCUCCACGCGCCGGAACCAGUCGUCCACCGCAGGAGCCUCGGUCUGACUGAUGCCCUAAUACACACUGGAAGGAAGAGAGGUUAGUGGAGGAGUGGCAGAGCGAGUUCUGGGCCAUCUCUGCCCAGGAUACAAACGCUGCCCACUCCCCCAGCCAGUCCUGGCAAUAAGACCUCAGAAACCUACCCACAUCCUGUUUAACUCUCCACCUGCCCGUUACUCUCGGGGUGAAAACCUGAGGUAAGGCUGACCGAAACCCCAGACGUUCCAUGAAUGCCCUCCAGACCCUCGAUGCGAACUGGGGACCCCGAUCAGACACUAUAUCCUCAGGCACCCCGUAGUGCCGGAAGACGUGUGUAAACAGGGCCUCUGCAGUCUGUAGGGCCGUAGGAAAACCGGGCAGAGGGAGGAGACGACAGGACUUAGAAAACCGAUCCACAACGACCAGGAUCGUGGUGUUACCCUGUGAAGGAGGAAGAUCGGUCAGGAAAUCUACCGACAGGUGCAACCACGGCCGUUGUGGAACGGGUAAGGGUUGUAACUUACCUCUGGGCAGGUGCCUAGGAGCCUUACACUGGGCUCACACCGAGCAGGAGGAAACAUAAACCCUCACCUCCUUAGCCAAAGUGGUCCACCAGUACUUCCCACUAAGACAGCGCACCGUCCGACCGAUCCCAGGAUGACCAGAGGAGGGUGACCUGUGGGCCCAAUAGUUCAGCCGGUGGCGGACAGCAGACUGAACGUACAGACGCCCAGCUGGACACUGGAGGGGAGCGGGCUCUGCACGUAAUGCCUGCUCAAUAUCCGUGUCCAGCUCCCACACUACCGGUGCCACCAGGCAGGAGGCGGGGAGUAUGGGAGUGGGAUCCAUGGGCCGCUCCUCUGUGUCAUACAGCCGGGACAAUGCGUCUGCCUUAACGUUCUGGGAGCCUGGUCUGUCGAAAAGGGUAAAUACAAAACGGGUGAAAAACAUGGCCUACCUUGCCUGGCGAGGGUUCAGUCUCCUCGCUGCCCGGAUGUACUCCAGAUUUAGGUUGUCAGUCCAGAUGAGAAAAAGGUGUCUAGCCCCCUCAAGCCAACGUCUCCACGCCUUCAAGGCCUUGACGGCAGCCAACAGCUCCCGGUGCCCACACACAUCAUAGUUUCACUCCGUCAGGCUGAGCUUCUAAAUCUCCGGUAUUAGUUGGCAAACCGUAAGAACCGCUGCACCUCCUUUACGGUGGUGGAAGUCGGCCAAUUACGCACGGCUGCAAUGCGGUCACUCUCCAUCUCCACCCCUGUAGUGGAAAUGCAAUACCCUAGGAAGGAGACGGCCUGCUGAAAGAACAGGCAUUUCUCAGCCUUGACGUACACGUCACGCUCCAACAGGCGACCAAGCACUCUGCGCACCAGGGACACAUGCUCAGCGCGUGUAGCGGAGUAUAUCAAAAUGUUCUCAAUAUACACCACUACACCCUGCCCGUGCAGGUCCCUGAAAAUCUCGUCUACAAAGGCUUGGAAGACUGAUGGCGCAUUCAUUAACCCGUACAGCAUGAUGAGGUACUCAUAGUGCCCAGAUGGCUGCUCUGGCCACUGGUCAUUCGGGAUUAGUCUGUUGUGGAGGGGGUCCAGAAAUGUGAUAAGGUGUGCAGUGUUGUAUGGGCCUAGGAUUGCAUGAUGGUGAAGGACGCCAUUUUGACUAAUAGCCGCACACAUUAUGUUGCCACCACGUUGUCCCGGGACGUUGAUAAUGGCACGGUGUCCGAUGAUAUUUUGCAAGGUUGAAACCUGCCUGUCCACAUAUAUUAGCUGAUGAUGCACUGCAUCUGCUUCUCGCUCCAUGAAAGAGACAAGACAAAACAAUGUAGCACAGUACGAAAAGACAGGGAUCAGUCAAUAUGAUGUAGCACCAUACACUUCCACAUCCAGUACCAAUGAUAGGAUUCAUAUCUCAGUAGUUUUACAGGUUUCUGUACAGCUGCUUCAUCCUAAUUCUAUUGCGUUUCAGUAGACUAGACCGUGCAGAGAGACUCGCGCUGUUGACGUUUUAGAAUAUGGUGUUAUCUACCAUUAUGUGGUCCUGCAGUUCUGAGUCUGAUGCAGUUAUUUGCAAUGAUCAUAUUUACAAUGUGGGUCUCCUGUUCUGGGGUGAACAGUCGACCUCUUCCACCAGAUACUGGUUUUCUUGCAGUUCUGUAAAAACAUUUGAAUGGUUUGAGUGAUAGAUCCUUCUCAUUAUGAAAGUACAGUACAUAUUACCAGUACCAGUAAGACUACAGCCCUUACAGAUACUUACCGGUUCUCAUCUCAAAAUAUCCGGAUGAUACCUGCAAGAGUAUAGAGACUCAGAUUUGGAUGGACCCUUUGCCCAGCCUCCCUCAUGCUCAUGCCAUGGCUGACAACAUGAUUUCAUCAGUUAUUGUGUUCCUGACUCCACUUCCUCUUCCCCGUCCUCUCAUUCUCCCCGUCCUACUUCACCUCUUUCUUCUCUUACUUCUUCACCUCCUCGUACUCCUAGUUCUCACCCCUCUUACUCUCUGUCCAAUAUUGGCCUCCAUUGUUGUCCAAACCAAAUGUUUACCUGUGGCCUAUUUAUAGUGCUCAAGCUCUGAUUUGUAAGUUAGCUCAUUAUCUAAAAGUGUUUUCAUGUGUCAAUGUGGAAAGGCAAUUGGCGAAAUAGUGUAGCAAUGUAGAGACCAAUGUUUUGCUAGAAGUGUGUUAUUAAAUUGCAAACUGAGUGUGAAGCAGUGAGUUGUGUUCACAGUUUUGCAAAAAAAAGUGUGUUAUAAAAUUACAAACUGAGUAUAAAGCAGAGAACGUGCAUUCAGUUUGGCACACUUGGUAAAUUCAUUGGCUAACAAGUGUUAAUGUUUUCAGAGAUAGUGCUUCAAGAAUCACUGUUAAGAGUUUAAGCAUUCCGAGAAAAAAACUGUAAUCGGGCAUUGGAGUCUGAAAAGGCUCUAGUCUAAAGUCAAGACACAGUUGAAGUGUUGGCCACCACAUGCUUAUGGCAAACAACACCAGAUCGAAAACAUGCAAAAGAACGGAGAGGAGAUUGAUUGAUGCGUAAAGGGUGCAUUCCCCACUGAAUGCACCCAGGAGGAUAACACUGUGUCCGAUCGAGCUUUAACCACUUGUUUAUAUCAUGGAUAUAUUUACACACAUACUCAUUUCUGCAUUUCAUGUUUCACAUUUGUGAUUUGCUAAAUGUAAUCGACAAAUAAAACUGCUAAAAUGGA